rnacentral:rRNA from 1 species
CACGUAGGGUGCGAGCGUUGUCCGGAAUUAUUGGGCGUAAAGAGCUCGUAGGUGGUUUGUUACGUCUGCUGUGAAAUCCUAGGGCUUAACCCUGGGCUUGCAGUGGAUACGGGCAGACUAGAGGUAGGUAGGGGAGAAUGGAAUUCCUGGUGUAGCGGUGAAAUGCGCAGAUAUCAGGAGGAACACCGGUGGCGAAGGCGGUUCUCUGGGCCUUACCUGACACUGAGGAACGAAAGCGUGGGGAGCGAACAGG